GACGAACGCUGGCGGCGUGCCUAAUACAUGCAAGUAGAACGCUGAAGCUUGGUGCUUGCACCGAGCGGAUGAGUUGCGAACGGGUGAGUAACGCGUAGGUAACCUGCCUGGUAGCGGGGGAUAACUAUUGGAAACGAUAGCUAAUACCGCAUAAGAGUAGAUGUUGCAUGACAUUUGCUUAAAAGGUGCAAUUGCAUCACUACCAGAUGGACCUGCGUUGUAUUAGCUAGUUGGUGAGGUAACGGCUCACCAAGGCAACGAUACAUAGCCGACCUGAGAGGGUGGUCGGCCACACUGGGACUGAGACACGGCCCAGACUCCUACGGGGGGCAGCAGUAGGGAAUCUUCGGCAAUGGACGGAAGUCUGACCGAGCAACGCCGCGUGAGUGGAGGAGGUUUUCGGAUCGUAAAGCUCUGUUGUAAGAGAAGAACGAGUGUGAGAGUGGAAAGUUCACACUGUGACGGUAUCUUACCAGAAAGGGACGGCUAACUACGUG
rnacentral:rRNA from 1 species